rnacentral:rRNA from 1 species
UACAGAGGGUGCGAGCGUUAAUCGGAAUUACUGGGCGUAAAGCGUGCGUAGACGGUUAUGUAAGUCGGGUGUGAAAGCCCCGGGCUCAACCUGGGAAUUGCAUUCGAGACUGCAUAGCUAGGGUGCGGAAGAGGGAAGCGGAAUUUCCGGUGUAGCGGUGAAAUGCGUAGAUAUCGGAAGGAACACCAGUGGCGAAAGCGGCUUCCUGGUCCAGCACCGACGUUCAGGCACGAAAGCGUGGGGAGCAAACGGG